UCCUUGGUCAUUUAGAGGAAGUAAAAGUCGUAACAAGGUUUCCGUAGGUGAACCUGCGGAAGGAUCAUUAUCGUAGGGCUUCGGCCCUGUCGAGAUAGAACCCUUGCCUUUUUGAGUACCUUUCGUUUCCUCGGCAGGCUCGCCUGCCAAUGGGGACCACAAAAAACACUUUGCAGUACCUGUAACAGUCUGAACAAACAAACAAAAAUUAAAACUUUCAACAACGGAUCUCUUGGUUCUGGCAUCGAUGAAGAACGCAGCGAAAUGCGAUAAGUAGUGUGAAUUGCAGAAUUCAGUGAAUCAUCGAAUCUUUGAACGCACAUUGCGCCCUUUGGUAUUCCUUAGGGCAUGCCUGUUCGAGCGUCAUUUAAACCUUCAAGCUAAGCUUGGUGUUGGGUGACUGUCCGCUUCACGGCGGACUCGCCUCAAAAUUAUUGGCGGCCGGUACAUUGGCUUCGAGCGCAGCAGAAACGCGAACUCGGGCCCGUCGUAUUGGCUCCCAGAAGC
rnacentral:rRNA from 1 species